GAUUUUAAUUGAGGUUGUUUUGAAAGCAAUCUAUAAGAGAUAGUUCUUUAAAGUCA
rnacentral:tRNA from 1 species